rnacentral:rRNA from 1 species
UACGGAGGGAGCUAGCGUUGUUCGGAAUUACUGGGCGUAAAGCGCGCGUAGGCGGCUUUGUAAGUUAGAGGUGAAAGCCCGGGGCUCAACCCCGGAACUGCCUUUAAAACUGCAUCGCUUGAAUCCGGGAGAGGUGAGUGGAAUUCCGAGUGUAGAGGUGAAAUUCGUAGAUAUUCGGAAGAACACCCAGUGGCGAAGGCGGCUCACUGGACCGGUACUGACGCUGAGGUGCGAAAGCGUGGGGAGCAAACAGGG